rnacentral:lncRNA from 1 species
AUACUCAUGAACCUUACACUUUUGCAGACACUAAACCAGCUGGCAAAAACAGAAUAUGGUCAGUGAGAUAAAGCAGGAAGGAAAGAGCAGCUAACCAGUAAUUGAUGUCAUAAAAAAUUAGCUUCUGAGUUGGGGAUCAGAUAUGGAAGCGAAUAGCUUUGAUUUCCAACCAGAGAGUGGUUUCUUUGGUCAGACAUUUAACAAUCAUUUUGUCAUCCAUGCUGACGAAAUGUUUGAAGGUUGCUGAGCCCACAAACAGCGGCAGAAGUACUACAGCAUACAAACAGUAUGAACACCACGGCAGGCCCGCACACACAAGACAAGGGUGGUCCUCUCUAACAAUGAUCUGAGAAUCAUCUCGAGACAGGAGGAAGAUAUCUUUGAGUUGUUCCAGCGACAGUUGGAUGCAGUCCAGAGAUCUAGACAGUCGUAUGCAGUCAGAUUUUGACAGUUGUAUACAGUCAGUCUCAGAUCUCGACAGUUGUAUGCAGUCAGAUCUCAACAGUUGUAUGCAGUCAGGAGAUCUAGACAGUUGUUUGCAGUCAUAUCUUGACAGUUGUAUGCAGUCCGGAGAUCUCAACAGUUUAUAUGCAGUCAGGAGAUCUUGACAGCUGUAUGCAGCCCUGGGAUCUCAGCAGUAGUAUGCAGUUCGCGGAUCUUGACAGCUGUAUGCAGUCCGGAGAUAUUGACAGUUGUAUGCAGUCAGGAGAUCUCAGUUCUUUUUGUACUGAUGGCAUUCAUAAGAUUCAGUCUCAAAUAGAAAUAAUUUGGACUGCUUAAAAGCUAAUCUAUAACUUGCAGAUUUGCAGCCUGCGACAUUCUUAUAUAGAAGACAUGUGUGUGAAAUACAAUGAAUAUGAACUGCCACUGUUCAAAUUUGAAAUGUUUAAAGAACUGUUUUUUUAUCACAGUGAGACUGAAAAUAAGAAAUCAUAA